AGCAGCCGCGGUAAUUCCAGCUCCAAUAGCGUAUAUUAAAGUUGUUGCAGUUAAAAAGCUCGUAGUUGAAUUUCGGGAUUAACGUGACGGUCGUGCCUUAAGGGGUAUGAACUGUUACAGUUAAUUUCUCACCUUCUGGAGAAAUAUGAUGUCCUUAAUUGGGUGUCAUAUGGAACCAGGACUUUUACCUUGAAAAAAUUAGAGUGUUUAAAGCAAGCUUAUUGCUCGAAUACAUUAGCAUGGAAUAAUAAAAUAGGACGGCUUGAUUCUAUUUUGUUGGUUUCUAGGAUCACCGUAAUGAUUAAUAGGGAUAGUUGGGGGCAUUAGUAUUCAAUUGUCAGAGGUGAAAUUCUUGGAUUUAUUGAAGACUAACUACUGCGAAAGCAUUUGCCAAGGAUGUUUUCAUUAAUCAAGAACGAAAGUUAGGGGAUCGAAGACGAUCAGAUACCGUCGUAGUCUUAACCAUAAACUAUGCCGACUAGGAAUCAGACGAUGUUAAUUUUUAAUGUACUCGUUUGGC
rnacentral:rRNA from 1 species